CUCGAAGGCCUGAGGUUCUGCCUCCCGUCCCCGCGGGGCUCCAGGUGCCAGGAGGAAGGGGCUGCCAUGGGACGGGGUUGUCUCCCAGGGGAGCCCAACAGGGCACAGCCCCUCUUAUCUCCUCCUUGAUUGGCAGCAAGUGUGUGUUAAAAUAAGAAGGGGAGAAGACGUGACAAGAGUCACCCUUUGUGUCACCGGUGCGUGUGUCUCUGUGAGAGAAGAGCCCAGAGUCUGGGGGAACCUGAGAUCCAGGGGCCCACACCCCUGUCCCAGCUGCCCCCCCCCCCCACUGAGCUGGAGGAGAAGGUGGCAGGCCCAGGCAGAGGCCCCCGCGGUCCCCUGGAGGGACGGGCACACCCUAGGCUUUUGUCAGUCACCAAAAGCCCAACUCCAACUGCCUACAGAAGGGAGCACAUCUUUCCUGAGCUGGCCGGGCCAGGCCGAGGAGCAAACACACACGUUCUCCGUCCAUCCCAGGCUGCCUGACGCCCACCUGCCUUCCUCCUUCCAAGCACAUUGAAAGGCACACUGCCCAAAAGUCACAGCAUGUCGUGCUCAAGCACCCCCCCUGCCCCCCGCCGCAAAGCGGCCAUGUGGCGUUCCAGCCGCUCACACGACCCUGCUCCCAAAGCCGUGCUCCCCGCCAUCGAGUGGCCUGCUCCUCCUGUCCGGCGAGCGGUGGACCGGAGCCGGGCGGGCGGCACUGAAGUCUCGGCACGGGGCGGGGGCCACGGCACAGCCUACAUCCUGUCUGACAGAAGCAGCCAGGACCCGUGUGCCCGGGACAGCCGGUGCCUCACGGGGACCGUCGCCUUGACCUGACACCGUGAGCCGAAGAUGCCCCUUCUGGUGGCCGCUCGCAAGCCGACGACUCCAGCACGUGGCUCGCCCGGUAGGCUGCAGGUGACAGAAUCUCUCAGAGAAGGCAGUUCGGGCAGAAAAGGAGGUUGGCAGCUCCCGUGCAUGAGACGCCAGGCAAGUGAGCCUUCAGGACCGGCUCGAUCCGGUCCACCGGAGAGGGCCACGCUGUUUCCUCCCACUCUGGUGGCCAUCAUCUCUGCCGUUUGGCUGCCUUCUCAGGCUCUGUGAGGCACGGGUGAUGGCCCUCGGCGCACCUUGUCACGACGGGAAGAAAGGAACCUACUUGCCUCGACCACAAAUUCUAGAAACGGUCACACUGACUGCCACUGGGACCCCUGCUGUUCGGGGCUGAAGUGUGUCUCCAAGAAAGAUGUGGAAAUCCUAA